CUACGGGUUGCAGCAGUGAGGAAUAUUGCACAAUGGAAGAAACUCUGAUGCAGCAACGCCGCGUGGAGGAUGACGCAUUUCGGUGUGUAAACUCCUUUUAUAUGUCAAGAAAAUGACGGUAGCAUAUGAAUAAGCACCGGCUAACUCCGUGCCAGCAGCCGCGGUAAUACGGAGGGUGCAAGCGUUACUCGGAAUCACUGGGCGUAAAGGACGCGUAGGCGGGAUAUCAAGUCAGGUGUGAAAUCCUACAGCUUAACUGUAGAACUGCACUUGAAACUUCUAAUCUAGAGUAUGGGAGGGGGAGAUGGAAUUAGUGGUGUAGGGGUAAAAUCCGUAGAUAUCACUAGGAAUACCUAAAGCGGAGGCGAUCUCCUGGAACAUUACUGACGCUAAGGCGUGAAAGCGUGGGGAGCAAACAGGAUUAGAUACCCUAGUAGUC
rnacentral:rRNA from 1 species